AGAUGAAGGACACGUAUUAAAUCAAAUGCCGGCACCACUAGAAGACGACACGUUGAAAGACCUUAUUCAAGCAACCUUUGCCUAUAAAUAUGUAUUCAUGAUCAAGGAAGGGGGCACGAGCGAUUUCACUCUCUAAACUUCUACUCUCUAAAACUCUCUCUUCUCUCUAUGCGAGGGUUAUGAUAAGGAUGCUCUCCUUAUUCAAGCAAUCUAGAAAAGGAUGCUCGUGCCCCCUUCCUUGAUCAUGAAUGCGUAUUUAUAGGCAAAGGUUGCUUGAAUAAGGUCUUUCAACGUGUCGUCUUCUAGUGGUGCCGGCAUUUGAUUUAUUAUUUGAAGAGCAUC